rnacentral:misc_RNA from 1 species
GAUUAAGUGAUACAGUUGAGUGCACAAUGCAUUGCUCCAGUCCAUUCUGGUCUCUCAGGCAUGAUAAAUGGAUUUUGCUAGUGUAGAAAAUUAUCCAAACAAAAUGCAUAAAUGAUCACUGGAUUGGCAACAUGGGCUUCUUCUUAGAUUGUACAAAUCAAGCAAAACUGAAUUUUAAAGGGAAAAAAAAUGCAGUUCCCCAUAAAUAUAGUCAACGGGAAAUGUCCUGUGAUUUAUUGCUACAUUUUUUAGCUACAAAUUUAUUGUUAGUAGAUUAAAAAA